AGUCACUCUUGAAGUUACGGAAUUACAACUCCUCUGUCUUCCUUCCUCCAGACACUCUCCUGCCAACCUGAGACCCUGGCUGGCUGUCUUCCAUGACCGGCAUGCCUGCAGAGCAGCGUAGCUGCUACAGAAAGCUACGCUGUGAAGUCACAACGUUCCCUCUCGGGCUGCUUCGACCCACACCAUAGAAAGAGUCACUAUGAAGAUGCUCCAACCUCCAACCUCUCAGAGGUGACACUGCCCCAGACGGAUACCUGACUUCUCAGCCCUUCUCCUGAUCCACUGGCCUUGUGGCGAAUGUCUCUGCCUGUCCCUUAUCCAGCCAACCCACCACCUGGAAGCCGCGAAUCAGCACUUCUGGCUAACUGACUGCAGCAUCUCUCAGAAGCAUGUCGUAUAUCCUUUCUGCUUCUAAUGCCUGACUUUUAAAAAAAAAUGAUCACAAACCUUUCUGGGCUAGCCUCAGUUUUUUUUUUUUAUAAUAGUUUAUUGUCAAAUUAGUUUCCAUAUAACACCCAGUGCUUCUCCCCACAAGUGCCUCCCACCAUGACCAUCCCCCCUCCCCCCUUCCCCUCCCCCUUCAGUCCAUGGUUGUCUCCAGUAUUCGGUAGUCUCCCUUGAUCUUUGUCCCUCACUCUUCCCCGCUCUCUUUCCCCCUUCCUCUCCCCAUGGCCCCCUGCCAGGUCUGUCCUGUUAGACCUAUGAAUGCAAACAUAUGGUAUCUAUCCUUCUCUGCCUGACUUAUUUCGCUUAGCAUGACACCCUCAAGGUCCAUCCACUUUCCUACAAAUGGCCAUAUUUCAUUCUCAGUUUUGAAGUGCUAGUAUGCAGCUCUACCACUAACCAGAUCUCCAGUUAAUACCUAAUUACACUUCCCAUCCUUGUUUUGUUGCUGAUAAAUAAGCUUUCUCUUCCUUGACUUUGUAGAAUAUUUAUUUUCCAACUUGUUUUCUCUUUUGCCUUUACAUCCUCUGUUGUGCCCUGAGAAAGCACCACCAAUGCGAUUUGCCACACCUUACAGCGCAGGUCCUCUUCCUCCUCCUCCCCUCCGCCCCCCAUCUACAGCCC
rnacentral:lncRNA from 1 species